CCUCGUGACUGACAAGCCGGUGCGCCAAUCAGGUGCAGCUGGAGCGUCACGCCAAGGACCCGGAGCGGGUAGUUGCCGACCUGGCGAAGCUGCGUACGGAAUUUGGGACGGUGAUUGGGGCGGUGGUCUAGUGAAGCUGGUACUGGUUAUCACUGCACUUUAUCAAAUGGCAUCCUCAUUUCAAUUGAGAAUGAAGAGGUUCUUGGAUAAAGAACUUUAAAAAUCAGGCUAGAAGAUGGACUUUUGGCAAGCCAUAAUAGACUGCUCCUUUCCCAGGCAUACCAUUUUUAGUUAUCCCCUACCUCUCCAGUCCAAGGAAGAACUGGUUGUUUCUUAUUGAUGAACUCCAUCUCACAGUUUUGCAGGCUGGUGCUAUGGAUACUUCAGUGAGUAACAAGGACUUAAAGGAACCAAGGUCCAGAGAAGUUAAGCAACUUACCAUCAGCACCAAAGACUUCAUGCUUGCCACCAUAGCUCACUACCUCUCCAGAAGUCAAUACCCAGAAUUUUAUCCUCCCUACACUGUACAUUGCCAUAUCUCCUGUUUACUGAAGAGGAUCGCAACUGUCAGCGCUGGUCCUGGAAAUUUAGAUUUGGAGUUUUAAAAUUGAGGAGGGCAGCUUCAGAUCUUAAUAGCUGCCUGUGGACCUGUGUGCUCUGAAAUUGCUCAUCUCUCCCCAUGACGAUGCUACAUCCCAGAAAUAUCCGGGGAACCAUGUUCUCGAGGUCUCAAGAUGAAGACCCCUCACGGCAAGGCAGUGUUAGUCUAAUUCUCCUUAUGCCUCAGGGCACAAGGGUGAAGGCAACCCCACACAAACUUCAGACUCUCUUUUUGGAAGUCCAGACUUGCUAUAAAUCACCUAAGAUGGUCAUGCUCAUGUCAGCUCAACCAGGGCCCUGCCUUCCUCUCCAGGAAUCACGCCUGUGUUUAAAGCUGCUCCAAGGGAAAUCCUCCCUGAAUGAAGUCUUCACCAUCAGAUCUCCUCUUAACUGAGGAUCCCAUCAUCUCAUGUUGAUAUUCAGAUAUUUCCCCCCUUCGUAGAGGCAUUUUCUCUUGCUUUAUCACAAGUGGUAUCAAUAGGUUAUUUAUAUUUUGAACUCUAUUGAAAAGAGGAUUAUACCGGGACAUUUAAUUUUAGUUAAGAAAAUAUAGAAAUUACUCCCAUGUAAGAAAAGCAGUGCUUUAAAAUGAAAGAAAAUAGUUCACUCCUCGCUG